UGCACGCUGAAAAAAAUAUGCGCUACUCACGCGCCGCUUACGCUUGCAGUGUGAAACAGGCCUAACUCUGUGCCACCGCAUCACUAGAUGUGUUAAAAAUAAUGAGAAUAUAUAUACAUAUAUAUCCGAGUCCUGAUCGGGAGGUAACGUCCGAUUCCGAUCGAGUCUGAAACCACAUGAUCGGGCCCGAUUUCCGAUCACGUGAUCGGAUCUGGACAUCCCUAAUGUUAACAACAUCUGCAUUGUGUGACUAUAUUUAAUGUGUAUUAGGGCUACCUGUAGAUUUCCAUUUCUGUGCAGUCUGAUCUCUAAUUGUCAAACCAACAAAUUAAUGUUCCUUAGAGCUGUUUCUUGUGUAAUCACACGUAUCUGUAAUCAGAUGCAUAUUUAAAACUGGAAUAUAAUCUAAUUUCAGUCACAUACAUGUGUUUCAUUAUCAUCAUGCACCAUUCAAGACUCUUUUCUUUUGCAGGACACAAGCUUUGACACAGAGAUAUCUGAUAAUGAUGUGGGCAGUGAAAGAGGCAGAGGAAGAUGGAGAGGCAGAGGCCUGGUUUCAGAAGAUGAUGCAAGGAGAGCUGCAGACCUGUCACAGCAGAGGUUAACAGACAUACAGUGAAUGACCUAGGCUUCAGUCAACGGGGAGAGAUCCUUCAAGAGGUUUUAAUACAGCAUCCUGCAAUAAUGUUUUAGAAUGUGCUACACAAGCAACAACCAUUCCUUCAGCAUCAUCACUACACUGGUGUACCUGGAACAACUGCAGAGAGAUGCCCACAGACAUGGAAAGAAAAUGUUGUGGCCAGCGACCAGAGAGGUGUAUAAGCAGGACAGGUACCUUUGAAGUUUUGAGGUUGGUCAGGGACACACGUAAUGAUAUUCUUGCCUUGGAAGACUCUGCUGAACCAGGCACAGAUAAUCAAGAGUCUCGAUAUGCUGCAUACAGGCAGUAUGUAGUUUGGCAGUAUGGUGCGUUAGGUGGGGGCCAUAGAGUGGUCAUACCAAGUUGUUGUGUUUGGUGUAUUAGAGAGAAAUAUCCAAUACUCAGGAUUUAUACUAAAUAGGCUGUAGCACAGUUUUUUUUUAGAUACAUUUCUUUUGACCUCAAUAUUAAUACAUAAUAAUGUUGCACAAUAAUAAAAUAUUCAAAUUUGCAUUUCUACUUUAAAAAUUCAAUGCACCACCUCAUUUUACAUAGUAAUGCAAGAUAUAUAUUUUAUUCUAAAUUUUGUUACUGUAUUAGGGUAUACUGUUUUGGUGCAAUAUCAUUUGUUAUGAGUGUCAUUUUGUGCAGUUUAAUUCUUUAAAUUCUGUCCCAUUCUUUGUAUGUAAACAAGUUAUUAGAAUACUAAAAGAAUUGGGUUUUUUUUGUAUUUAAUAUUCUCUGUGUUACAGGAUUACAACUAUAGUGUCUAAUGUAUACUUGUUUACAUGUUUCAAGAGGCUACAAUAAAGAAAUGCAGAAAUCUUGAGCUCCUUAUCAAAUCUUUUUAUUAAACUGACCAAAUCAGACUGAU